rnacentral:rRNA from 1 species
ACUACGAGCAUUAGCUUGAAACCCAAAGGACUUGGCGGUGCUUUAGACCCCCCUAGAGGAGCCUGUCCUAGAACCGAUAACCCCCGUUCAACCUCACCUUUCCUUGUUUAUCCCGCCUAUAUACCGCCGUCGUCAGCUUACCCUGUGAAGGACCUAUAGUAAGCAAAAUUGGCACAACCCAAAACGUCAGGUCGAGGUGUAGCGUAUGGAAAGGGAAGAGAUGGGCUACAUUCCCUAAUGCAGCGAAUACGAAUGAUGAACUGAAACACUCAUCCGAAGGAGGAUUUAGCAGU